rnacentral:lncRNA from 1 species
ACAAGAACUUGUACGAGCAGGUCAAUGCCAUUGCUUCAAGGAAGGGUUGUACUCCAUCACAGCUAGCAUUGGCCUGGGUCCAUCACCAAGGCAAUGAUGUUUGCCCCAUACCUGGCACUACCAAGAUUGAGAACCUCAAUCAUAAUAUAGGAGCUUUGUCUGUAAAACUGUCAGCAGAGGAAAUGGCGGAACUUGAAUCUAUUGCUUCUGCAGGAGUCAAGGGUGAUAGGUAUGGGCCUGGCAUUAGUACUUGGCAAACUUCUGAAACUCCACCUUUGUCAACCUGGAAGAGGACAUGAAGACAUAGCUUUGUUGUGGCAAUAAUUCCUUCUAGCUAUGUGCCUGAUGGUGGAUUUCACUAUAUUAAGAGUUGAAUGAUAUGUAUUUGUUCCAAUAAAUUUCAUCAUACUAUUGUCUCUAGGGUUAAGGCAAGUAAAGUUAUAAGAAGAAUGGAGUUUCUUCAGAGAAGUUGUAAUGAAUGAAGAUAUGGUCAUGUAAAAAAAGCAGAACAUAAUUUUCCUUGCAAUUGAAUGCGUUAAAUAUUAUCUAUUCUACUUCUGAAUGUUACUAGUAAUAAUUCACGUGAUUUGCACGCAAUUGUAACAUCUUGAAAUGUAUUAUUCUGUAGGUAUUAAAAGUUUUUAUGAAAUUUUGAUCAUCAACAUCAUAAUAUAGUAUUUUUAUGUUAUUUUUUUUAGCUAGUUAUUUUUAAAAAUUUUGUUAAAUGAAAAGAGACGGAAAACAUUCUAACAUAGUUUUCAUGUCCCUUAGGAUUCAAUUUGGAAUCAUGGUGCAAACACUUUUUGCGUUUUAGCUUGAAUUCUAACAUAUCAAAUAUUGAUAAUAUCAUGUUUUAUCAAAAUGAUUGUAUAUUCAUGAUUCUAUUGCAAAUUAUGAGUUAUAUUCUUAUGAGAUGAAAUGAUGUUAUGGACAAGUUACAUGAUUUACCAAGUUUCUCUGUGAACAUGUUCAUAUUAUGUUAUAUGUUUUAUGCCACUCAAUUUUCAAUGACAUCUGUAUAUGUAUUUAUGAAGCAAUGUCAAUAUUUUCAAACUGAGAUAUCCAUGCAAUUUUGUGUGAUCAAGUAUAUAACUACAUGAACCUGCAGGAGAGGUGUGAUGCUUACUCAGCAUACAUUGCUCAAUUCAUGUGUCCUUCAAGAAAGGAAAAUCGUUUACUUCUUAGGAAUUAAGAGUAAGAUAAAUAGACUGAUGAUCAAGUUCUAGAGAUUAUAGAAUAAGAUGUUUAACAGGUGCACAAAUAGAUUAGUAAUAAAGCUCCACGGAUUAUAGAAUAAGGUGUUUAACCGGUAUAUUAAAUUAAUAGUACGUGGUUUGUUUGAAUAGUGUUUUAUUUGACAAAUUUUAUUUAUUUGUAUUGUCAGCACAUUUUUCAACCACCUUCUCAUUUCAUAUAUAUCAUAUCAUCUAAAAAGUGUUAUAAUAUAUAUAUUUUUUACAAAAUUAUCUCAAAUAAUCUACUACUCCCUUCGUCCCAUUUUGAUAGUCAUGUAUUCCUUUUUCAUCUGUCCCAAAUUGUAGUCCACUUUCCAAUUGAACAAUAUAGUUGUAUUUUAAUUUUUCUAAAAUACCCUUAUUUAAUGUAAGUAGUUAUUACUAUAAACCUACCCCAUUUAAUGAGAAUUGAUUCUUUUUUUUACCAUCAAUUCAAGUUCCCAUAAAAUUGUACCAUAUUUAAUGUGAGGGUAUUUUAGGAAAAUAACAAUCUAAAUUUACUUUUUUAAUAAAGUUAAUUAUUUUUUCUUAAACUGUGCGAGAAAAGAAACAAGAUUAUCAAAAUGGGACGGACGGAGUAUUUAAACACGCUAGCGGUUUCGCAUGACGUUACAGACCCGGCCCAUGGUGGACUUUGGAUCUAUGGUUUCCGGAUUUGAGGCGUGACAGGAAUUGUCCAUAUGCUUAUAGAUCCAAAAGAUUAGCUCAAUCGAUGCACUGCCAGAAUCCUCCGUUGCAGGCUUCAGUAAUGUAUACGUGCACAUGGGCCUGCAUUAAUGGUCAACUGAAUUCCAACUCAAUACAUAAAAUGUCCAUUUAGUGGGCAAAUUUUUGUCUUCCUUUCAGGUAACAAGUGCACAAUUCAAUGCAAAUGUCAACUGAAUUUGAUACAAACUUACCGUUUAAUCACUAAUGUAAAUGCCAACGGAAUCUACAAGCCUACAAUUUAAAAUUAGUGUACCUCAAAAUCACAGCCAGCGAAUAUCACAUCGAUAUCAUUGAAACAACUACUGUGGAAAAAUCGCCCGUCCCGAGGAAUUUGAUAAUAAUUAUUGUACUUCCCUCGCCUAAUUUGGUAAAUUUGAUUUUUUUUUUCAUGCAGUUUAAAAAAAUUAAUUAAUCUUAUUUUUUUUUUCCCAAACGAAUUAAUCUUAUUGAAAGAGUAAAAAUCUAACUUAAUACUCCCUCCGUCCCACUUUGAUAGUCUUGUUUUCCUCUUUCGUCUGUCCCAAAUUGUAGUCCACUUUUUUCAUUAAGAAAUGUAGUAAUCUUUCAAAUUGUCUAAAAUACCCUUAUUAAAUAUCUUGUUAUUAAUACAUUGUUAUUAAAUACUAACCCACUAUAUUGAAUACAUUGAGCUUUUCCAAUACAUAGAUAACUGAUAUUUAUUGGCACCAUUAGCUGUAACUGAUAUUAAUUGGCACUUUGUGAUUAGCAUAAGGGUAUUUUAGGAAAUUAUUAAUCUAAAUUUAUGUUUUCAACCAAAUUAAUUACACUUUCUUAAUCUAUGUGAAAAAAAAAUUAAGACUAACAAAACGAGACGGAGGGAGUAUGUUUCUAAAAUAUCUUUACAUUAAAUGGAGCAUGACUAUUAGUUUUCUUUUUUUUUAAUCAGUUUGACAGACCAAAUUGACACCUAUAUAUAUAUAUAUAUAUAUAUAUAUAUAUAUAUAUCUAUUUUGUCAGACCAAUAUGAGAGUUUUUCAAUUUGAGGAACCAAUAAAAUUGUUAAAAAACUUGUAACAAAUAAACUUGACAAAAAACUUGCGUACCAAACAAGGCCUAAGAUGAUUUGCUACUUAGGAGAACCGCAUCGAAAUUUCCGAGUUGCUUAGUAGAAGUUUUUUUUUCUUAACAAUGAAUUUUGACAGAUUUAAUCAUGGCCAUUAAUUAAUCCUUCCCUAAUGCCACCAGAGCAGCCGGCCAUACUUCAUCCAUAAAAAGCCAUAUUCCUAAAGCACUAUUCACUUGCUAAAAAAAGUCAAUUCUGCUCCGUUCUACUGUUUAAACUUCCACUGUGUCUGUGUCUUUUGUCUGAAAAUGGCAGCGGCGGCAGCAGCAGCAGCAGCAGCAGCAGCAGUAGCAGAAGUGAAGGUGCCAAGAAUCAAGCUGGGCUCACAAGGUUGUGAAGUUUCAGCUCAAGGGCUGGGCUGCAUGGGCAUGUCAGCCUUCUACGGCCCGCCCAAGCCCGAGCCCGACAUGAUCAAGCUCAUCCACCAUGCUAUUAGCAGAGGUAUCACUCAUCUGGACACCUCCGAUGUCUAUGGACCUCACACUAACGAAAUACUCAUUGGAAAGGUACUAUAUUUGCCUUUUUAAAUUACUCUUGCUUAAGAGAAGUAGAUUUGUGACUUUAUAUUUAAGGUGAAUCACACUUAAGCCCAUGAAUAUAUAUGCUUCUCACUUAGCCCCCUCAAGUUUAUUUGUAUGUCCUUGAUAAUUAAUGGCAUGAAAGCGUGGUUUUAGGCUUUGAAGGAAGGAAUGAGAGAUAAUUAAUGGCAUGAAAGCGUGGUUUUAGGCUUUGAAGGAAGGAAUGAGAGCGAAAGUGGAGCUAGCAACGAAAUUUGCAGUCUCUUACGAGGAUGGAAAGUUUGACAUAUGCGGUGAUCCAGCCUAUGUGAGAGCUGCGUGUGAAGCCAGCUUGAAGCGGCUUGAUGUGGACUGCAUUGAUCUCUAUUAUCAACAUCGCAUCGAUACACGCGUGCCCAUUGAAGUCACGGUUUGCUCCAUUUUGACAAUUUGAUGUUCUUUGACAACUUUGACAAAGUACACAUCCAACUGAAAUCAGCACAUAUAUUGAUAAUAGAGAAAGUUCAUUUUGAUGUUCUUAACAAUUUCUUCACCAUUAUGGGCUACUGUACAUACUAAUCUUCAUCUCAGUAAAGCUGAUUUAGCACCAGGCAUCUCAAAAAGUAAAAAGAACCAACAUCAUCUCAAAAAGUAAAAAGAACCAACAUAUUUGUCUUGUAUAUGUGCACAGGUAUUUUAGCUUGCCAGCCCUGCUGAGGGAGGUACAGGUGGAUAUGAUGCCAUACAUUGUACGUAUUUCCUUUAGAACUAGAAGACCUGUGCAUUCCUUUCAUUUGAAAUAGACCACUCAGUUGAGUAUUAUUAUUUAGAAACAGUCAACAAUGUCAUUAUUGAUGUUACAGGAGCAUUGUGUUCGCAUGGUCCAAUAGAGCCAAGUCAACUGGUGGGAUUAAUAACAAUAUCAUCUUGAGAAGUUCAAUUGGCUGCGUAUUGCACUUUUUCCAAGUGAUGAUUUCAGUUGGAUGUAUACUUUGUCAAAGUUGUUCGCUGCACUGAAUUAGUGUUACUUUUACUCUAUGCUUGUAUAAUUUCAACUGUCUGCCUUAGUAUGGAAAAAGAUAAACCAGCUUAGCAUUUUCUUGUUUGUCGUUGUAUUCUCAAUUUUUCUAGAUUGGAGAACUUAAAAAACUGGUUGAAGAGGGUAAAAUAAAGUAUAUAGGUCUAUCCGAGGCCUCUGCUUCAACAAUUAGAAGAGCACAUGCUGUUCAUCCAAUAACAGCUAUACAGUUGGAGUGGUCAUUGUGGAGCAGAGAUGUCGAGGAAGAGAUCAUUCCCACUUGCAGGUAGUGCAUUUAUUCUUCUUCAUGUUCUACAUGGUCUAGAAGGAAACAUGUUCUGAAUUCACUUUUGGUGUAAUCUUUUAGAGAGCUUGGCAUAGGGAUUGUUGCAUACAGUCCACUCGGACAAGGAUUCUUCUCUUCAGGUCCAAAGCUGAUUGAGAAUUUGACUGAAGGUGACUUCCGAAAGGUUUGUGCAUAUCCAAAAAGAUAAGUAGUUUUUGGUGAAGUAUGUGUACAGUUGGUAUAUGCGAGUUUCUUAGUCGUCAACUUUUACCACAUUCAGUCGCAGUCAUUGCUCAAUAUCCCUAUUCUUUUCUAUCUGUUAUAUGUUGCUGCAUUUUUUGAUACCCAAGCCUGAGCUUUUUCUAAAAUGAUCAAAUUUAAUGAAUUUUUUGGUCAACUGUGACGCAACAAGGUUUUCUAUCUGACAAGUCUUGUAGUCUUGAAUUCCAAUAAAUGCAAUUUUUGGUAUUGGUAUAAACUGAACCUUUUGUACAUACAGGAUAGGAAUUGUGUGCUUUCUAUAUAUUUUGAAUUUUUUUAAAAGAAAAAGAUGGCACUAGCAUUGUCAAACUUUUAGAUAUUUUCUUGAAAGAAGGUUUUCCUUGCAUGCUGGAAAAUUAUAAAAGGACAGAGCAAUGGGUAAUGUUCUAUUUUGCAGUGCGCGAACGUCCUGGACAUGAAAACAGGAAGAAACUAUGGCAUCUUUAAGGAAACGGUUAUUUACAAUAUUGAGGGAAAGUGGACCUUAGGUUUCAAGCUCGUUGUUUGGUCUCGAGCUGUUGUUUUUCCUUUUUGGUUAAUCCUUUAACCUAGUUUCAUUGGUCAUUAGUUCACUUCCUAGUAGUAGUGCCAUCUCCAUCGUUCAAAAAUAUAGUUGAUUUCUAGUUUGACCUUCCUCUUUUAUGGAAUUGCAUCUCAGAAUCUACCUUCUACAAUUGAUGUCUCCCACCUGGAGUACUCUGUCCGGCCACCUUACUGCAUUGUUCAUUCCGCCGCACUUGUACACUUCAAACAAUAUUUCCAAUUAUUCUGAUAUAAUUUUAAGGAUUAAUCUUUGUUAUACUGACAGUGUAUGCAUCAUUAGCGUUGGAUGAACGACAAUCAUGCAAAAUUUAAAAUUGAAAUUCAACUUAAGCAUAUAUGUCAUGAAUUCAAUGAUGAUAGUGCAUACACUAUUAGUGUAUAUAAAAUUUACUCUAAUUUACUCUAAUUUUAAUUGUCUGUGUGGGCUGCUCCUUUUGUGCGCUUUAACCCCUCCAGAUUCUGGUUUUACAGUUGCUUAACAUUGAAAUUCACACAAUGCAGUAUUUGCCAAGGUUUCAAGCAGAGAAUUUGGAGCACAACAAGAAGUUGUAUGAGCGUGUCAAUGCCAUUGCUUCAAGGAAGGGUUGUACUCCAUCACAGCUAGCAUUGGCCUGGGUCCAUCACCAAGGCAAUGAUGUUUGCCCCAUACCCGGCACUACCAAGAUUCAGAACCUCAAUCAGAAUAUAGGAGCUUUAUCCGUAAAACUGUCCGCAGAGGAUAAGGCGGAACUCGAAUCUAUUGCUUCGGCUGGAGUCAAGGGUGAGAGAU